rnacentral:rRNA from 1 species
AGUGAACGCUGGCGGUAGGCCUAACACAUGCAAGUCGAACGGCAGCACAGGAGAGCUUGCUCUCUGGGUGGCGAGUGGCGGACGGGUGAGGAAUACAUCGGAAUCUACUUUUUCGUGGGGGAUAACGUAGGGAAACUUACGCUAAUACCGCAUACGACCUACGGGUGAAAGCAGGGGACCUUCGGGCCUUGCGCGAUUGAAUGAGCCGAUGUCGGAUUAGCUAGUUGGCGGGGUAAAGGCCCACCAAGGCGACGAUCCGUAGCUGGUCGGAGAGGAUGAUCAGCCACACUGGAACUGAGACACGGUCCAGACUCCUACGGGAGGCAGCAGUGGGGAGUAUUGGACAGUGGGCGCAAGCCUGAUCCAGCCAUACCGCGUGGGUGAAGAAGGCCUUCGGGUUGUAAAGCCCUUUUGUUGGGAAAGAAAUCCAGCUGGCUAAUACCCGGUUGGGAUGACGGUACCCAAAGAAUAAGCACCGGCUAACUUCGUGCCAGCCGCCGCAGUAA